AACGAACGCUGGCGGCAUGCCUAACACAUGCAAGUCGAACGAGACCUUCGGGUCUAGUGGCGCACGGGUGCGUAACGCGUGGGAACCUGCCCUUAGGUUCGGAAUAACUCCCCGAAAUGGGUGCUAAUACCGGAUAAUGUCUUCGGACCAAAGAUUUAUCGCCUUUGGAUGGGCCCGCGUUGGAUUAGCUAGUUGGUAGGGUAAAAGCCUACCAAGGCGACGAUCCAUAGCUGGUCUGAGAGGAUGAUCAGCCACACUGGGACUGAGACACGGCCCAGACUCCUACGGGAGGCAGCAGUGGGGAAUAUUGGACAAUGGGAGAAAGCAUGAUCCAGCAAUGCCGCGUGAGUGAUGAAGGUCUUAGGGUUGUAAAGCUCUUUUACCCGGGAUGAUAAUGACAGUACCGGGAGAAUAAGCUCCGGCUAACUCCGUG
rnacentral:rRNA from 1 species